AUUGAACGCUGGCGGCAUGCCUUACACAUGCAAGUCGAACGGCAGCACGGGAGCAAUCCUGGUGGCGAGUAGCGAACGGGUGAGUAAAGUAUCGGAACGUGCCCAGUCGUGGGGGAUAACGUAGCGAAAGUUACGCUAAUACCGCAUACGAUCUAUGGAUGAAAGCGGGGGAUCGCAAGACCUCGCGCGAUUGGAGCGGCCGAUAUCAGAUUAGGUAGUUGGUGGGGUAAAGGCUCACCAAGCCGACGAUCUGUAGCUGGUCUGAGAGGACGACCAGCCACAAUGGGACUGAGACACGGCCCAGACUCCUACGGGAGGCAGCAGUGGGGAAUUUUGGACAAUGGGCGAAAGCCUGAUCCAGCCAUGCCGCGUGCAGGAUGAAGGCCUUCGGGUUGUAAACUGCUUUUGUACGGAACGAAAAGGUUUGGCCUAAUAAGCUGAGCUCAUGACGGUACCGUAAGAAUAAGCACCGGCUAACUACGUGCCAGCCGCCGCGGUAA
rnacentral:rRNA from 1 species